AGGUAUGUAUUUAAAAUAUAAAAUCUAACUUGCAUUUAGAAAUUAUUGGCUUAACCAAUCUUACCUA
rnacentral:tRNA from 1 species